AGCGGAAGGGAUCAUUAUAGAGUUAUCACAACUCCCAAACCCAUGUGAACUUACCAGUUUGUUGCCUCGGCGGUCUUGUCGUUAAAAGGCGAGCCCGCCGAAGGUUACUUCUAAACUCUUGAUAUUCAGUUGUCAUCUGAGCGUUUUUUCCAAAUAAGUUAAAACUUUCAACAACGGAUCUCUUGGUUCUGGCAUCGAUGAAGAACGCAGCGAAAUGCGAUAAGUAAUGUGAAUUGCAGAAUUCAGUGAAUCAUCGAAUCUUUGAACGCACAUUGCGCCUAUUAGUAUUCUAGUAGGCAUGCCUGUUCGAGCGUCAUUUCAACCCUUAAGCCUAGCUUAGUGUUGGGAAUUUACGGAACCGUAAUUCCUCAAAGACCGUGGCAGAGCUGAACAAACCUCUGAGCGUAGUAAUUUUAUCUCGCUUUUGCUGGUGGUUCGGCUGUAGCCAUAAGCCUUAUAUUUUCUAAUGGUUGACCUCGGAUCAGGUAGGAAUACCCGCUGAACUUAAGCAUAUCAAUAAGCGGAGGAAAAGAAACCAACAGGGAUUGCCCUAGUAACGGCGAGUGAAGCGGCAACAGCUCAAAUUUGAAAUCUGGCCUCUGGUCCGAAUUGUAAUUUGUAGAGGAUGCUUUUGGUGAGGUGCCUUCCGAGUUCCCUGGAACGGGACGCCAUAGAGGGUGAGAGCCCCGUACGGUUGGAUGCCGAGCCUCUGUAAAGCUCCUUCGACGAGUCGAGUAGUUUGGGAAUGCUGCUCAAAAUGGGAGGUAAAUUUCUUCUAAAGCUAAAUACCGGCCAGAGACCGAUAGCGCACAAGUAGAGUGAUCGAAAGAUGAAAAGCACUUUGAAAAGAGGGUUAAAUAGCACGUGAAAUUGUUGAAAGGGAAGCGCUUGUGACCAGAACUUUGUCUUGCGGAUCAUCCGGUGUUCUCACCGGUGCACUUCGCUUGAUUGAGGCCAGCAUCGGUUUUCGUAGGGGGAUAAAGGCUUUGGGAACGUAGCUCCUCGGAGUGUUAUAGCCCAUUGUGUAAUACCCUUAUGG
rnacentral:rRNA from 1 species